GGGAUUGUGGCUCAGUGGUAGAGCACUUGCUUUGCAUGUGUGAGGCACUGGGUUCGAUUCUCAGCACCG
rfam:Ictidomys tridecemlineatus contig031413, whole genome shotgun sequence.